rnacentral:rRNA from 1 species
UGGCGGACGGGUGAGUAAUGUCUGGGAAACUGCCUGAUGGAGGGGGAUAACUACUGGAAACGGUAGCUAAUACCGCAUAACGUCGCAAGACCAAAGAGGGGGACCUUCGGGCCUCUUGCCAUCGGAUGUGCCCAGAUGGGAUUAGCUAGUAGGUGGGGUAAAGGCUCACCUAGGCGACGAUCCCUAGCUGGUCUGAGAGGAUGACCAGCCACACUGAACUGAGACACGGUCCAG